rnacentral:rRNA from 1 species
UACAGAGGGUGCAAGCGUUGUCCGGAAUUAUUGGGCGUAAAGAGCUUGUAGGCGGUUUGUCGCGUCUGCCGUGAAAAUCCGAGGCUCAACCUCGGACUUGCGGUGGGUACGGGCAGACUAGAGUGUGGUAGGGGAGACUGGAAUUCCUGGUGUAGCGGUGAAAUGCGCAGAUAUCAGGAGGAACACCGAUGGCGAAGGCAGGUCUCUGGGCAUUAACUGACGCUGAGGAGCGAAAGCAUGGGGAGCGAACAGGA